rnacentral:rRNA from 1 species
UACAGAGGUCCCGAGCGUUGUUCGGAUUCACUGGGCGUAAAAGGUGCGUAGGUGGUGAGGUAAGUCGGAUGUGAAAUCUCCGGGCUCAACCCGGAAAUGGCAUUGGAAACUACCUUGCUGGAGGAUUUGAGGGGGGAUUGGAAUACUUGGUGUAGCAGUGAAAUGCGUAGAUAUCAAGUGGAACACCAGUGGCGAAGGCGAAUCCCUGGAAAAUACCUGACACUGAGGCACGAAAGCUAGGGGAGCAAACAGG